UACCACUACCCGAUCAUCGUCAUUAUUCAUCAAACAAGAAAAAGAAAAGCAUCAUUGUAAGUCUAGAUUUGAUGGAGAAGAUGAGUGUUUUCCUAAGCUUCUUCCUGUUUGUCUUAAUUGCCAUGCCCACCUCUUCGUCCAGCAGGAUGAUACUUGAGGAGGUUGAAGCAAUAAAUAAGUGCCCGAAACCAGACUGCUCUCUCGUUAGAUGCAAAUUACCAAUUUAUUGCCCAAAAGUUUUUCUUAUAUGCCCAAAGGGCAAGUACACGCCGUGCUGUAGCUGCCCAAAAUGCUGUAAAUAAUUUUCUCCUCCUAGUAUGCUUGCUGCCAUAUCGUAUUUUUAUGUGCCCAUCUUUAAUUUUCACUUCUGUGAUAUUUUCAAUCUUCGGGUCUUUUUUUCUUUUUGAAGCAGUGUUCGGGGUUGUUUGCAUGUGAUAUAAAAUGCACGUACAUGCAAUUUUCUCCUCACAAAUAAAUGUAAUAAGAUGUGUGCAAUUAUAUAUGUUGCUUGCGUC